AUUGAACGCUGGCGGCAUGCUUUACACAUGCAAGUCGAACGGUAACAGGCCUUCGGGUGCUGACGAGUGGCGCACGGGUGAGUAAUGCAUCGGAACGUACCCAGAGGUGGGGGAUAACGCAGCGAAAGCUGUGCUAAUACCGCAUGUGAUCUGAGGAUGAAAGCGGGGGACCGAGCAGCAAUGUUUGGCCUCGCGCCUUUGGAGCGGCCGAUGUCGGAUUAGCUAGUUGGUGGGGUAAAGGCCUACCAAGGCGACGAUCCGUAGCUGGUCUGAGAGGACGACCAGCCACACUGGGACUGAGACACGGCCCAGACUCCUACGGGAGGCAGCAGUGGGGAAUUUUGGACAAUGGGCGCGAGCCUGAUCCAGCAAUGCCGCGUGCGGGAAGAAGGCCUUCGGGUUGUAAACCGCUUUUGGCAGGAACGAAACGGUGUCCGCUAAUACCGGGCGCUAAUGACGGUACCUGCAGAAUAAGCACCGGCUAACUACGUG
rnacentral:rRNA from 1 species